rnacentral:misc_RNA from 1 species
AAGUCGUAACAAGGUUUCCGUAGGUGAACCUGCGGAAGGAUCAUUACCAAUUUCGGGGGACUUCGGUCCCUGUCUGAACCCUUGUCUUUUGAGUACCAUUUGUUUCCUUGGUAGGCUUUGCCUGCCAACAGGACACCACUUAACCUCUUGUAAUUGCAAUCAGCGUCAGAAAAACAUAAUAGUUACAACUUUCAACAACGGAUCUCUUGGUUCUG